AGCUGCUACACUGAAGGGAAAAACCUGAGGAAGCCCCUGACCUUCUUGAAUAACCUGGAUAUUGCAGAAUCAAGCCUGGCACACGGCACUGGCAGAGACGCAGAAGGGAAAGUGUCCAGCGAUGAGAGGAUACCGGCCAGGGGGCAAAUCUUCAGCUUGCAGCACUCACUUUGCAGAUCCAGUUGGAAUUAUUUGUGUUGACGCUCUCUGCUCUCUCCGCUCUCCCCUGGAAAUGACGAGGAACUGAGUACAGUGGACAAUGGCUUCCGUGUCCCCAGCUCCCCCCGAGCCAUGAGCUGCUACAUCAAAGGUCUGCAGUGGGCUGCCCUUCCCAUAAUAUUUCAAUUUAAGCACCGACUCGCUGCUGCGGAAUCACAUCUCAUUCACGCUGCGGCCUUUGCAGGAGUCAGGGAUCAUUAUGGAGCAAGCACUGAGAAAAAACAGAUUACAGCCUGGCACCGAGCAGCCAGGUGGUUGCACCCCAGAUGCUUCAGGGACAUGGUGCCUGCUCUGGAGAAUGGGGCAGCUUCGUUGCUAUUUUUAGUUCUCCACUUUCCUGGAAAGCAUGCAGUUGAAGUUCAUGACAGUAUUCUCUCAACGUGUGACUCAAAGACAGAGGCCGUUUCCCACCCAUCGGUUCUCACACUGCCCCAUUCUGCAGCUUCACCAUCCAUGCGCUGAGAAGGCAGGCCCGAAAGUCUCAGCACCCAGCCGCUGGGGUCCUCGCACUUAUGGACAGAAAACUCAGGAAUGAAUAUGUUUCCCCAUCUUGUGCCCUUUUGCCUGGAAACUAUACAGAGCAGGGAUCCCUGCUGGCAUUCCUUCUUUGUACUAGUACGGCUUCGGAAAGCACUGGUUCUCUGAGGAGCGCUCAGUUGCAUCUGGAAGGUGCAGUGUGCACAGCAAUGCCCCUUGACACCAAGGUGUGAGCAUUUGAGCUGUGCUGGAAGGUUCUCCAUGGAAUAGUGCCCACCCUGGAGGGCCCUGUGCCGCACACUUGAGGAGGCUGUGGUGGUGAGGAGAGACUCUAGAGCAAGCCACACUCCCGAUAAGUCAGAUAAGAGUGCAUCCUCUAGGUAAGUUUAUAUUGCAAAUUUAAAGAGAGGAACCAAGAAAUAGCGAGGACACUGAGCCAGGACUGAGAGUUUGGGUCUCAGGUGGCUUUGGGUCAUUACGCCCUCUCAAGUGGAUAGCUCUAAGCCCUGUUUAUUUGUUAAUGUGAAUAGUUGGAUGGAAUUGCCUUUGUUCUAAAAUCUUUUAUUCUUCCUAAAGUCUCUGGGUCAGCAAGCAUAUGCCACAUGGCUUCUCUCUCUGCAUGGGAAUGCACACCUGAGUAGGGAGGCUGGCCAGCCCAUGCUGCCCUGGUGGGGUGAUGGAAGGUGGAUAGCCAUGGCAGGGUGGAAAGACGUGUGUGGGUAUAGGCAGGAGGUGGCCUCACUGGAGAAACCUGUGCAUGGCCCCACAAGGCGGCGGCUGAGCAUGGAAGGGGCUGGAGCUGCCCAGUGGUAGGGAAGGGGCCGUGUGGCCAGCAGCAGCAUCUGCCUUUGUCAUCACUGGGUGGGACCAGGAGGGCAAUGCUACUCUUCCCCUCACACCUUCUACAGGCAAGCUGGCCAGGUGUCAAUGCAGCCAGGUGACACGGCCGCCUGAAGGGCAGGAGCAGACAGCCCCAUGGAGGCUCUAGGAGAUAGACAGGGAGGCCGCAGCUGUCCAGGAGCUGAAGUGAGCAGCAGAGGGCGCCGGGGAAGAUGCGCCCUAGCACCAGGCUCUGAGUGCCCCAGCGCGCUUCCUUGCCUUGACUUUCCUCACUGGGAACCCGGGCCUGGAGUCCAUAUGAAGCCUCAGCCCAGGGGAGGGUCUACCUGUCCAGGAGGCUCCCAUACAUCCAGCUCGCCCUGUAUGGUGCCCUCAGAGGUGCCUGGGCAUGGGUCACCUCGGAGAGUCUGGAGGGGCCUCCGGACAGUGCGGCCACGGGCUGUCCUCUGCUUCUCAGUGCCCAAGACAGGGAACCAGAGCACAGCACUGAACACAUUUUAGUGCUCUUUUAGUUCAUGUGCUGCUUGCUGAAUUUCCCUGAAUUCAGAGAAGAGCCUGACGCAGAGGAAGCAUCUGAGAUCUUCUGUAUGUUUUCUCAUCUGUGCAAAGUGUUUUCAACUCUUUCAAAGGUCGGCAUUCACUGAAUUUCAGCUCCCCUUGGCUUGAUCUCUCAUACAAAGGUUCUCAAAUUCCUUGAAAAUAUGCAAUGAUUUUCUCACUCAAUAAACGACUUUUCUGUCACCA
rnacentral:lncRNA from 1 species